rnacentral:tRNA from 1 species
GCCCGAGUAGCUCAGUCGGUAGAGCGUUAGGGUUUUAACCUAACGGUCCCAGGGUUCGAGCCCCUGCUGGGGCG